rnacentral:rRNA from 1 species
UACGGAGGGGCUAGCGUUGUUCGGAAUUACUGGGCGUAAAGCGCGCGUAGGCGGCUUUGUAAGUUAGAGGUGAAAGCCCGAAGCUCAACUUCGGAAUUGCCUUUAAGACUGCAUCGCUAGAAUUGUGGAGAGGUAAGUGGAAUUCCGAGUGUAGAGGUGAAAUUCGUAGAUAUUCGGAAGAACACCAGUGGCGAAGGCGACUUAACUGGACACAGUAUUGACGCUGAGGUGCGAAAGCGUGGGGAGCAAACAGG